GAAAGUCAUAGCAACACUUAAAGGUCCUUCCUGUCUGAACAAGAUUUAAAAUUGAACUUGAAUGUCUGCUUGCGAGGCAGCACAACCCCUUCCAAGAAACCAAGAAACCAUUGGGGAGGGAGGUGUCAGAGGACCGAACUAUAAUGAAAACAGUGAAUGAAGACAAGACAGUGACUGUUGUUUGCAUAUGGAAAGGAGCUGUUAUAUUUGUAAGUAAAAUAAGUUUUAUCUUUCAAAGAUAUGCACAAAGAUUAGAGUAUAUUGCUUUUAUUGCGUGUGUAGGGCAUCUGGGUGCCUGCCUGAUGCUCCCCUCUACUGGAAGCUCCAUGGUACUACAGCUUGUUAUGAAUAAUAAGGACAGACAUUUUAUCUGGAGAAUCUAAAACCAGGGAGGUACGGGCUAGUUAACAAGCAAACACGCUCAUGCAGGCACACGCAGGGCGUACUAAAAUAGCUAACCAAGCCAUUAGGGUUCACCUUGGUCUCUUAAGGUGGAGCCUCCAAUAAGAUUUGCUGGCCAGAGUCAUGUGUAAUUUCACAGCUCAGGGAUAUCAAGACUGCCAAGAGUAAGCAGGAAAAGUAACAGCGUUUGGACCGACAUUAACUUGGUAUCAGCAAUCGCUCUCUUCUCCACCCCUUCGGCAUUUAGAAUUGAUUUUAUAUGUACUGCCACAACAGAGGAGGAUUUUCACUACCACUGAACUCUGAAGUCUACUCUUGCCACCUAUUUCUAUAAGUGCCGUUGGUGACUAUACAACUCCCUGGCUUUGUCCUCCUUUCAGAAGUAUUUCUGUCCUGCCCUACUAAGGGAGAACUGUCUCUCUGGGACAGAAAAGAAUUAAGUUUGCUCCUCAGUCUACAGAAACUAAUUAAAUUUGUACACAUUACAGUUAGCAUGUGAAUUUGUCUAAGGUUUCUUAAACUCAUGGCACACAUUUAAGGACUCAGCAGUUCACGCCCAGACUGUCACACAUCUGUGUGAAUGUGUAUAUGUUCAGAAUACUACAAUAAUGAUACAGUACUAGAAUUGUGUGUUUGUAGUGUUGUAGUGUUGUAUAUCUUGAAUCUGCCAUCCACAGAAAAUAUGCCAAAUUUAUGAACUGGCCUUAAGAAUAACCUCUGUUCUUAGUUCCUGAGGAAGCUGUGUUCUCAGAGUUAGUUAAGUACAUGGCAGCCCUGUCCAUGGAGUAUAAGCUGUAGCAUACCUGCGAG